rnacentral:rRNA from 1 species
GACGAACGCUGGCGGCGUGCUUAACACAUGCAAGUCGAACGGUAAGGCCCUUUCGGGGGUACACGAGUGGCGAACGGGUGAGUAACACGUGGGUGAUCUGCCCUGCACUUUGGGAUAAGCCUGGGAAACUGGGUCUAAUACCGGAUAGGACUACGCGAUGCAUGUCGUGUGGUGGAAAGCUUUUGCGGUGUGGGAUGGGCCCGCGGCCUAUCAGCUUGUUGGUGGGGUGAUGGCCUACCAAGGCGACGACGGGUAGCCGGCCUGAGAGGGUGUCCGGCCACACUGGGACUGAGAUACGGCCCAGACUCCUACGGGAGGCAGCAGUGGGGAAUAUUGCACAAUGGGCGCAAGCCUGAUGCAGCGACGCCGCGUGGGGGAUGACGGCCUUCGGGUUGUAAACCCCUUUCAGCACAGACGAAGCGUAAGUGACGGUAUGUGCAGAAGAAGCACCGGCCAACUACGCG